rnacentral:rRNA from 1 species
AUUGAACGCUGGCGGCAGGCCUAACACAUGCAAGUCGAACGAGUGGCGGACGGGUGAGUAAUUUCUGGGAAACUGCUCGAUGGAGGGGGAUAACUACUGGAAACGGUAGCUAAUACCGCAUACCAUCGGAUGUGCCCAGAUGGGAUUAGCUAGUAGGUGGGGUAACGGCUCACCUAGGCGACGAUCCCUAGCUGGUCUGAGAGGAUGACCAGCCACACUGGAACUGAGACACGGUCCAGACUCCUACGGGAGGCAGCAGUGGUGAAUAUUGCACAAUGGGCGAAAGCCUGAUCCAGCCAUGCCGCGUGUGUGAAGAAGGUCUUCGGAUUGUAAGGCACUUUAGUUUGGGAGGCGUUACCAACAGAAUAAGCACCGGCUAACUUCGUGCCAGCAGCCGCGGUAAUUC